rnacentral:rRNA from 1 species
AUGAACGCUGGCGGCGUGCCUAAUACAUGCAAGUCGAGCGAACAGACGAGGAGCUUGCUCCUCUGACGUUAGCGGCGGACGGGUGAGUAACACGUGGAUAACCUACCUAUAAGACUGGGAUAACUUCGGGAAACCGGAGCUAAUGCCGGAUAAUAUAUUGAACCGCAUGGUUCAAUAGUGAAAGACGGUUUUGCUGUCACUUAUAGAUGGAUCCGCGCCGCAUUAGCUAGUUGGUAAGGUAACGGCUUACCAAGGCAACGAUGCGUAGCCGACCUGAGAGGGUGAUCGGCCACACUGGAACUGAGACACGGUCCAGACUCCUACGGGAGGCAGCAGUAGGGAAUCUUCCGCAAUGGGCGAAAGCCUGACGGAGCAACGCCGCGUGAGUGAUGAAGGUCUUCGGAUCGUAAAACUCUGUUAUUAGGGAAGAACAAAUGUGUAAGUAACUAUGCACGUCUUGACGGUACCUAAUCAGAAAGCCACGGCUAACUACGUG